UAGGGAAUCUUCGGCAAUGGACGGAAGUCUGACCGAGCAACGCCGCGUGAGUGAAGAAGGUUUUCGGAUCGUAAAGCUCUGUUGUAAGAGAAGAACGAGUGUGAGAGUGGAAAGUUCACACUGUGACGGUAUCUUACCAGAAAGGGACGGCUAACUACGUGCUAGCAGCCGCGGUAAUACGUAGGUCCCGAGCGUUGUCCGGAUUUAUUGGGCGUAAAGCGAGCGCAGGCGGUUUAAUAAGUCUGAAGUUAAAGGCAGUGGCUUAACCAUUGUUCGCUUUGGAAACUGUUAAACUUGAGUGCAGAAGGGGAGAGUGGAAUUCCAUGUGUAGCGGUGAAAUGCGUAGAUAUAUGGAGGAACACCGGUGGCGAAAGCGGCUCUCUGGUCUGUAACUGACGCUGAGGCUCGCAAGCGUGGGGAGCGAACAGGAUUAGAUACCCUGGUAGUCCACGCCGUAAACGAUGAGUGCUAGGUGUUGGAUCCUUUCCGGGAUUCAGUGCCGCAGCUAACGCAUUAAGCACUCCGCCUGGGGAGUACGACCGCAAGGUUG
rnacentral:rRNA from 1 species